AGCCGGGCGGGGCAACCAGGGCGGGGCAACCCGGGCGGCGGGGGCGGAUCCGCGUCCGGAGGCCGCGCCUCCCUCCCUGAAGAUGGCUGCAGAGGCCCAGGGCUGGGCUCCGCGAUGCUGACAACGUCCCUUGGGCUGCGCCCGGGACUGGAGAAGCGGGUCACCUGCCGCCGCGCCGCCUGGUCUCAGCAGUCCGCGGGGACGCGCGCUGCCAAGAGUGGAGAAUCCGAGUGGGGCAGACCUAGUCCCGGGACUGGGAAGAGAUAGUCGCAGGGACUGGGCGCCAAGAAGCUUGCUGAUCGCGCGCUCCCAACGGCAGCCCUGGGGAUGCAGAGGGGUGGCGUGAGAUGCUUACGGAGCUGCGGCCGGUUCGGACUGGAUGGGCAGAAUUCCCCCUCUGAAAUCUUAUGCAGAUCCUUCUCCCACUCUCCACCGAAGUGCUCAACGGCCAGCACACGCAUACAAUUUUCUUGCAGUAUUUUGUUUUGUUUUUGGGCUCACCAGAAACUCAGAGAGUGAAGAAAUACUGUUAAAGGAAGUUCCUAAACUGGGCAGACAGUACAACCCUGUGUGGUUUUCUCGGUGCAAGGGUUAGAAACAAAACCGAUACCAAGCAAGGAAGGAGGCCAGCCAACGUCACUGGUCAACAGAUAAAAUAUUACUUUUGCAAAUUACAAGUGUUCUCACCCCAAGAUUCUGAAACAAACUACAAGGGCCUGAAAAGAAGGAAAACAAACCAGAACUCUCACUGGCAGUUGCUGAAGAAACUAGACUCCCAUCUACGCCUGCAGCCAAACUCCCCAUGGACCAAAUGCUAGAUGGGUGGUUCUCAACCUUCAGUGCAUGUUAGUGUCACUCAGGGAGCUUUUAAACCAUUGUACUCCUGCCAAUUAAAACAGAAUUUUUUGCGGGGCAAGGGGAUGGGGGCCCAGGCAUUAGUAUGUUUCAAAUACAAUUCUAAUGGGAAGCCAAGGCUGAGAACCAAUGUGUCAGAGCAGUGCUUCUCAACCAUAAACUUGUCCUUGAUUUACCUGGGAGGAUUAGUUAAAAAUGCAGAUCUGAGUCAUAGGUCAGGGCUGGAGUCUGAGCUUCUGCACUUCUAACAAGCUUGCAAGUGAUGCCCAUGCUGCAGGAUCCCAGCCCAUACUUUGGUGACAAGGAGCUGGAGGACUUGUGCUUUGUCAUUCUCUCUUCAAGUACUUCCAUAGAGAAGAUAGCAGGUCUAUCACCUCCAAGCCUGAAAGUACCAAUAGCAA